CAAAGGCACACCGCCAUGAUGACUGCCUAAAUGCCUCAGCUGGUUUAAAGUCAUGCUGCCAUUACAUGGAGUUUCAGAGACGAAGUCACAUGCACACUCUGGCUGGUGGAAAGCUGUGGCUGAACCAGAACAUUGCACGUGUAUUCACCCUCAUCCACCUCUUUCUGCACAUCUGAGAGCUUUAAUGUCCCAUUGUUUUCAAAAGCUACUUGGCGAUGGUUAAAAGGAAGCAGGAGCUGAUUUGACAAGCACCUCUUACGUUUAUUCGAGCCUGGUAGAGGACGACUCCAGCAGAAUUGUUGGCAGUGCAGCGAUAGACCCCUCCAUCUCGGACCUGAGUGCUGGAGAUAUUCAGGUAACUGACCACG